rnacentral:rRNA from 1 species
UACGAAGGGGGCUAGCGUUGUUCGGAAUCACUGGGCGUAAAGGGCGCGUAGGCGGCCCGCACAAGUCUGCGGUGAAAACCUCCGGCUUAACCGGGGGCCGGCCGUGGAAACUGUCGGGCUGGAGGCUGGGAGAGGGCAGCGGAAUUCCCGGUGUAGCGGUGAAAUGCGUAGAGAUCGGGAGGAACACCGGCGGCGAAGGCGGCUGCCUGGACCAGUCCUGACGCUGAGGCGCGAAAGCUAGGGGAGCAAACAGG